rnacentral:rRNA from 1 species
GACGAACGCUGGCGGCGUGCUUAACACAUGCAAGUCGAACGGAAAGGCCCUGCUUUUGUGGGGUGCUCGAGUGGCGAACGGGUGAGUAACACGUGAGUAACCUGCCCUUGACUUUGGGAUAACUUCAGGAAACUGGGGCUAAUACCGGAUAGGAGCUCCUGCUGCAUGGUGGGGGUUGGAAAGUUUCGGCGGUUGGGGAUGGACUCGCGGCUUAUCAGCUUGCUGGUGGGGUAGUGGCUUACCAAGGCUUUGACGGGUAGCCGGCCUGAGAGGGUGACCGGCCACAUUGGGACUGAGAUACGGCCCAGACUCCUACGGGAGGCAGCAGUGGGGAAUAUUGCACAAUGGGCGGAAGCCUGAUGCAGCAACGCCGCGUGCGGGAUGACGGCCUUCGGGUUGUAAACCACUUUCGCCUGUGACGAAGCGUGAGUGACGGUAAUGGGUAAAGAAGCACCGGCUAACUACGUG